AUUGAACGCUGGCGGCAGGCUUAACACAUGCAAGUCGAGCGGGGGAAGGUAGCUUGCUACCGGACCUAGCGGCGGACGGGUGAGUAAUGCUUAGGAAUCUGCCUAUUAGUGGGGGACAACAUCUCGAAAGGGAUGCUAAUACCGCAUACGUCCUACGGGAGAAAGCAGGGGAUCUUCGGACCUUGCGCUAAUAGAUGAGCCUAAGUCGGAUUAGCUAGUUGGUGGGGUAAAGGCCUACCAAGGCGACGAUCUGUAGCGGGUCUGAGAGGAUGAUCCGCCACAAUGGGACUGAGACACGGCCCAGACUCCUACGGGAGGCAGCAGUGGGGAAUAUUGGACAAUGGGGGGAACCCUGAUCUAGCCAUGCCGCGUGUGUGAAGAAGGCCUUAUGGUUGUAAAGCACUUUAAGCGAGGAGGAGGCUACUCUAGUUAAUACCUAGGGAUAGUGGACGUUACUCGCAGAAUAAGCACCGGCUAACUCUGUGCCAGCAGCCGCCGUAA
rnacentral:rRNA from 1 species